CUGAAAAGAUAGGGAGAAUACCAGUCUGUUUGUGUAGCUCCAGUGUAAUCCACUAAUAGGGUCUAUGGUCAGGAUAGUAUUGGAUUAAUAGGCAGGUAAUGUGAUGAGUGUCUUAUAAAUGAUCCUUCCAUGUGUUCUCCUGUCCAGGAGGGGGAGCCAGACAGUUCAGAGAAGGAUGUGGUGAAAGAUCAAAUCAUGUCAAAUCUAAUGUUAUUUGUCACAUGUUUAGAAGAUGUUAUUGCAGGUGUAAGCGAAAUGCUUGUGAUGCAAUGUGAGGUGCUGUCUGCCUGUUGUCAUAGCAGUGAGCAGGUUGAGUAAGAUCUCUCUCUUUUCUCUAAUACAUUCGCUCAGUUAAAUUCAAUGAUGCUUUACUGCCAUGACUGCAAAAAUGCAAUGUUCUCAAAACGAGACACAUAAUUCCAUUUUUUGUUUGUUUGAUGGAGCAGUCUCCCUCGCUCUGACCCCGACAUUUGACCUCUCUCUGGUGCUGUUUCAGAGCCAAAGGGACUACGGCGAUAUCGGUGUGGAGGUGGUGGAUGUCAGAGUGAGCUCCCUCCCUCCCUCUCGCUCUCGCUCUCUAGCUGGUGUUAUUGAGAAACUGGAAAGAUGAGGAUUCAUCAGUGAGAAAGUCACUAAAGUGUGUCUCUUCUCCUCAAUCCACAAAUGCUCUGCUUUACUGUCAGACAGACAGGGCCCAGAUGGACAGUGAUGACGAGGUGAAACACACACGAGCACGACACGUGCACACACACUGAUGCACACACACUGAUGCCCCCAUUCUCAUCGACGGGGCUGCAGUGGAGCAGGUUGAGAGCUUCAAGUUCCUUGGUGUCCACAUCACCAACAAAGUAGAAUGGUCCAAGCACACCAAGACAGUCGUGAAGAGGGCACGACAAAGCCUAUUCCCCCUCAGGAGACUGAAAAGAUUUGGCAUGGGAUCCUCAAAAGGAUCUACAGCUGCACCAUCGAGACCAUCCUGACUGGUUGCAUCACUGCCUGGUAUGGCAACUGCUCGUCUUUCGACCGCAAGGCAGGUAGUGGGUGGUGACAGAGGGUAGUGCGAACAGUCCAGUACAUCACUGGGGCCAAGCUUCCUGCCAUACAGGACCUCUAUACCAGGUGGUGUCAGAGGAAGGCCCGACAAAUUGUCAAAGACUCCAGCCACCCAAGUCAUAGACUGUUCUCUCUGCUACCGCACGGCAAGCGGUACCGGAGCGCCAAGUUUAGGUCCGACAGGCUUCUAAACAGCUUCUACCCCCAAACCAUAAGACUCCUGAACACCUAAUCAAAUGGCCACCCAGACUAUUUACAUUGCCCACCACUCCCCCUCUUUUACACCACUGCUACUCUCUGUUGUUGUCAUCUACGCAAAGUCACUUCAAUAACUCUACCUUCAUGUACAUAUUACCUCAACUAACC
ensembl:lncRNA